UACGAAGGGGGCUAGCGUUGCUCGGAAUGACUGGGCGUAAAGGGCGCGUAGGCGGCUUGCACCGUCAGAUGUGAAAUUCCUGGGCUUAACCUGGGGGCUGCAUUUGAUACGUGUGGGCUUGAGUGCGGAAGAGGGUCGUGGAAUUCCCAGUGUAGAGGUGAAAUUCGUAGAUAUUGGGAAGAACACCGGUGGCGAAGGCGGAUCUCUGGGACGGUACUGACGCUGAGACGCGAAAGCGUGGGGAGCGAACAGG
rnacentral:rRNA from 1 species